UACGUAGGGACCAAGCGUUGUUCGGAUUUACUGGGCGUAAAGGGCGCGUAGGCGGCUUGCCAAGUCACUUGUGAAAUCUCUGGGCUUAACCCGGAACGGCCAAGUGAAACUGGCAUGCUAGAGUGCAGAAGGGGCAAUCGGAAUUCUUGGUGUAGCGGUGAAAUGCGUAGAUAUCAAGAGGAACACCUGAGGUGAAGACGGGUUGCUGGGCUGACACUGACGCUGAGGCGCGAAAGCCAGGGGAGCAAACGGG
rnacentral:rRNA from 1 species